UACGUAGGGGGCAAGCGUUAUUCGGAUUUACUGGGCGUAAAGGGUGUGUAGGCGGUCGUGCAAGUCUGGUGUGAAAUCUUCACCACUCAACGGGAAGAGGUCACUGGAAACUGCAUGACUUGAGUUUGGUAGAGGCUAGCGGAAUUCCUGGUGUAGCGGUGGAAUGUGUAGAUAUCAGGAGGAACACCCAUAGCGAAGGCAGCUUGCUGGGACGUUACUGACGCUAAGGCGCGAAAGCGUGGGGAGCGAACAGG
rnacentral:rRNA from 1 species